UUGUUAAGACACCUCCAGUGUCUUUAAGCCAAACCGCCGUUUAGUAUACCUUCCCCGGCUGCAGUACAGUCUCCGUUCGCUUAAUCUGUAAUACACGAACCAAAUGCAGGGGAAGCGGCAAUCUCCCGACCGAGAUCCGUGAACGGCUUCAAACUCCCGAACGGCAAUACACGAACUGCUGGUAAUCGUCGAACAGCAAUAUUCCCCAAGCGGCUUUCGUUCCAUCCAGCAGUCUCUAAACGUGAAGAAGAAAUCCCCCCAAUAACGAGACAGAAGCUCCGCAUUGAGGGUCAAACAGAAUCUGGUUUUACUGUGGGCUAC